AGUGAACGCUGGCGGUAUGCCUAACACAUGCAAGUCGAGCGGCAGCACAGUAAGAGCUUGCUCUUACGGGUGGCGAGUGGCGUAAGGGUGAGGUAUGCAUCGGAACCUACUUUUGCGUGGGGGAUAACGAAGGGAAACUUACGCUAAUACCGCAUACGACCUACGGGUGAAAGCAGGGGAUCGUCGGACCUUGCGCGAUUGAAGGUGCCGAUGUGGGAUUAUCUCGUGGGCGGGGUAAAGGCCCACCAAGGCGACGCUCCGUAGCUGGUCUGAGAGGAUGAUCAGCAACAUUGGAACGGGGAAACGGUCCAGACUCCUACGGGAGGCGCAGGUGGGGAACUUUGGACAAGGGGCGAAAGCCUGACCCAGAAAUACCGCGUGGGUGAAGAAGGCCUUGGGGUUGUAAAGUCCUUUUGUUGGGAAAGAAGAGCAGCAGAGUAGAAACCCGCUGUUCUGACGGUACCCAAAGAAUAAGCAACGGCUAACUUCGUG
rnacentral:rRNA from 1 species